AUGACUCAUAGUUCGAUCGUCUUAUCGAAUAAAAACAAUAAUUUCCAAUUUUUUCACCGAAAGCUUCAAACACGACUAUUAAUGACGUUAUAAGUUAUUUAAUAAGGUAAUCUAACACUUUCGUACCAUAAAUUGAAUAGGAAAAAAAAUAAUUGCGUAAAAAUAUAUGCUCACGAGAUGAAUAUGUCGUGUAGAGUAUACGGAGAAACACG